rnacentral:rRNA from 1 species
AGUGAACGCUGGCGGCAGGCCUAACACAUGCAAGUCGAACGGCAGCACAGUAAGAGUUCGCCCUUACGGGUGGCGAGUGGCGGACGGGUGAGGAAUACAUCGGAAUCUACUUUUUCGUGGGGGAUAACGUAGGGAAACUUACGCUAAUACCGCAUACGACGUACGGGUGAAAGCAGUGGAGCUUCGGACCUUGCGCGACUGAAUGAGCCGAAGCCGGAUUAGCUAGUCGGCGGGGUAAAGGCACACCAAGGCGACGAUCCGUAGCUGGUCUGAGAGGAUGAUCAGCCACACUGGAACUGAGACACGGUCCAGACUCCUACGGGAGGCAGCAGUGGGGAAUAUUGGACAAUGGGCGCAAGCCUGAUCCAGCCAUACCGCGUGGGUGAAGAAGGCCUUCGGGUUGUAAAGCCCUUUUGUUGGGAAAGAAAAGCAGCAGGUUAAUACCCCGCUGUUCUGACGGUACCCAAAGAAUAAGCACCGGCUAACUUCGUG